UAAACCCUUAACAACAGGCCUGUUUUUUUUUUUUGUUGUUGUUGUUGUUUAGCAAUAGGACUCUACCCAGGAAACCUUAGCUCUCCGAGUAAACAAAGUUCUCUUAAUAUACAUAAAAAAAUAAACAGUUCUCCGAAUACACAUAGUUUUGUUAGUAAACAUGGUUCCCUAAGUAAGCCAUAGUUCUGGGAACACCAUUCAAAACCUUGGCCUGAAGCAAUUUACAUUAAAGAAGCACUUUACAUUAGCAUAUGUAAAGCGACCAUGAGACCAGGUUUCCCAGGCUCCAGCUCCGGGUUGGGAACUCUGGCUUAACAUGGCCCUAUCCAAUUUUUUUUUUUUCAAUCCAAUAGAAUUUUCUACAAUUACGGAAACCUGCUAUACUUUUUCAACCUUGGGUUAAGGAAAAAUUUCUUAAACAGGACUCAAAAAACAUUGACUGUAAAAGAUUGAUAAAUUUGACUCUUCGAAAUUAUAGCCAUUUGUUUAACAAAAACACUUUGAAAAGUGAAAAGACAAGUUAUAAGCUGGCCUGUUCUAGGGAUCUGUGGCCAGGCCCUGGUUCCAGGAGUGUGGUUAGGUGAGCAGAUUAUUCACACUGGCUGUCAUAGUAUUUCUUUCACGGGGUUGUGUGUGAUUAGGCCACCAAAAUGGUACUAUAGCAUUCUGAUUUGAGGUGACUCUCACUCACAUCAGACACAAGACACGUUCAGGGCUCUGGGCUACCAAGGUCUGCUGCUGACACUUCAGCUAAGGGAAUUGCCAAGGCAAGAAAUCUAUAUUGUUUCAACAUAAACAGGUUCUGAAGAGCCAGUGCAUUGGAUGUAGUAACAGUGUUGCUACAUUUUUCUCAUUUGACAAUAAAGAACAUGAAGCAACGGUUUCUGAACUUGAAAAAGGAAGAGAUGGUGCCUGGAUGAUCUGAAUGAUCUUUAAGUGUACUGAAUGGACGCUAAAUAUUUAAUGACAUAGUACUCAAGGGUUUCUGAAGCUACAAAUGUUACUGCAAAUCGCCAAUUCAAGCAGCCUGCCGCAAAGCCAAUACUGAGACAGGAGGAGUCGAACUCAAGGAGACCUGGACUGUGGAGCAGAUGCUAGCAAAAGAGGUCCUAUCUCCCAGAGCCACGUGUUCCCACUCCACGUCCUUUCAAAACUGACGGGGUGAGUGCUCUUCGAAAAUGAGCCUUUCCUUACUCUUUUUUGUUCUUUUUCUCAUGUUAAGAUUUGUUCGGCAUAUUUGUUUGAAAAACUGGUUGUUUCUUAGAGUUUUGCUUGAUCAUGUUACCCUAUUAGGGUCUGUGCCCUGAAGCAGUCAAGCCAAUGAAACAUGCUCCAAGUCAGAAAGAGUGAGAAAGUUUCUUAAGGGGAUAUAUACAUCGCCAGAGACCCGGCAGCAACACAGGCUGUCUCUACAGAAUCCCAAACAGCAAUUUUACCUUAGAGCUUAUAUAGAAUCUUACAUGGGUUACAAGUGUCUUUGUAGUCUGCAGAUCGCCUGGCUGGAGGAGUCAUUCAUUACAAGAUAGUGACAAAAGACUCUUUAUCAGACUAAAAAGAUACAUGCCAGACAUCUCUUUAUCAGGCUAAAGGUAUACAUAUCAGACACCUGGGCUCUGAUUUUCCUGUGAGGGGCUGUAAGUCACUGGUGGUCAGACAGAACAAAACAAAGUUAUUUACAUCAGAUUAAAACAAAGAACAAAAUUGUUAACAUUAGGUCAAAACAAAGUCAUUAAUAGAGGCAGCAGGCAGAGGAAGGAGAAUAACUUAUAGGUUCAUCAUGGCAUUAGUUAUGUCAAGUUCUAAGUCGCCCAUUUUGAAAAAGGAGAAAACAUGCUUGGGAGUAUUAGGGUCACAUAUUUCCCCCUUUGAAACUUUGGUGACCAUAUACACCUAAUCCAAGUUUCAGCCUAUUCCUUGUAGAUCAGAGGGUUUCAGGCAAAAGGAUUGGGCCUUCUGCCUGUGACAGGUUUGAGCCAUCUAUUGGACAGUUGACUCGGGACAGAGGAUGCCAUCCCACAUAUAGGCAUUAAUUGGAGACAGCAAAAGAUUAACAGGCCUGUAACAAACCAAACCCAGUGCCGUCAAGUCGAUUCUGACCCAUAGAGAACCUUUAGGACAGAGUAGAGCUGCCCGAUAGUUUCCAAGGAGCACCUGGAGGAUUCGAACUGCCAACCCUUUGGUUAGCAGCCAUAGCACUUAACCACUACACCACCAGUGUUCUAAUUCCACCGAUAAAUAAGGUUUUCAGCCAGGUGAAAUCUGGCAGCUAAGAGGUCAGCCAAGAAAAAUCAAAUCCUUCAUGAAUCUUGUAACAGGGCCCCAGUCAUAAAUAUCAGAAUAUUGUAGCUCUUUCUUUAUGUGUUUAAAAAUUUCUCAAUGCCUCUAGGGGAAUACAAAGCCCGAUAUGACAGAGCUUGAGAGCCAAGUUGGCAUGCAACCCACUGUCCAGACAGAAAUCAGUAAUUCUUUCAUCUAAUUUUUCUUCAAAUAUAUUAGUGCCAAGUGAUUAAUCUUUGAGUUCAGAAAUUCUAGCUUCUACUUGCUCAAUUCUGCUCCUCUCACUUUCUAUUGAGUUAUCUAAUUCUGUGAUUUUAUUGUUAAUCUUCUGAAUUUCUGAUUGCUGUCUGUCUAUGGAUUUUUCCAGCUCAUUAAACUUUUCAUUAUGUUCCUGAAUAAUCUUUCCGAGUUCUUCAGUUGCUUUAUCUCUGUGUUCCUUGGCUUGUUCUGCAUAUUGCCUCAUUUCCUUUCUGAUGUCUUGAAGGGUUCUGUAUAUUAAACUUUCGUAUUCUGCAUCUGGUAAUUCCAGGAAUGCACUUUCAUCUAAAAGAUCCCUGGAUUCUUUGUUUUGAGCACCUGUUGAGGUGAUCAUGGCCUGUUUCUUUAUGUGACUUGAUGUUGACUGUUGUCUCUGAGCCAUCUAUAAGUUAUUGUAUUAGUUUAUUCUUGCUUACUGUGUCAUGGCUGCUUGCUUUGUUCUGUUUUGGUAUACCCCUAUGGGUUGCUUGAGUGAGCUAGCUUGAUUAGUUUUACCUUUGGAGCUCUGGUGUCCUGUCCCCAGCUGGCUAGAGCUGUUAUCAGGUAUAUCAGUCUAGAAGUCCAUUCAGUUUUUUUGUAUGAAUUCAGCUCAGGUUUCCGGGUAGCUGGUAUCAAGUGUAUGGUACAGGCUGUGUCCUACAGUCUGAGAGGUGCAGGGGUGAUUGGCGUAUAUACCCGUAUCUGGUUGCAGCAGGGGGUCAUGCUUUGAACAAGGCAGGGGGCUGAGAACCGACCCCCAAGUGUCUCUGAGGAAAACACGUCUCUGUUCCUUAGAGCGUUCUGGUGGGUGGGCUCUGCAGAGGGACCAUGGGCACCCAAAGAUUUUGUUGUAAGGACUGGGAGGCACCAGUUAUCCCUGGUCCCCUGUCGCAGGUGACUGGGCGACCCAAGUGGAGCCACCAGUACUUAAGUCCCCGUUGUGGGUAAGUGAGGACCUUGUUUUAUAGGCAAAACAAUGUCAAACGUCAAACAACCACCUCUCCACUGCACCGCUGAAAUGGUUGGAGUUUGCCAAUGAUGGCCUAUUCUCCUGAAAUAGGACCACACAGGUCCAUGCAGAAGGGAAAGGUACUCAAGGUCCACGGACGGUUUAUGCCUGGACAGGAGCCGCUUCUGUCCUGAGCUCCCCCAGUUAAUGGAGCUAGCAAAUUAUCUUUUCCCCCCAGUUGGAAAUUUUUUCCUUCCCCAAGGCUGGGAGGACAGCUCCAGGUGCUCACCAGGGUCUAUCUCAGGCCUGGGGAUUCAGCCGCUGAAGCUGGGUUGGGGGCGGGGGGGGGGACGCGGUAAAAUAUACACAAGUACUUAGCUUUCGCCAAGAGCGCCCUUCUGCCUGGGUUCCGGAGGUGUGAGUGGGCUGUGUGGCUGACUACUUCUCCCUGAGGAAACUGCAGCUGAACGCUAGUGCCAGCCCACCGCCGCUGCUGCUGCUCCGGGAAUGGUGCCUGAGGGCUCCCUGUGAUUCAGGUCCGGUAUCUCCUCUCCGCUUCUGAAUGGUCUUUUCCUUCCCCUGCCCCUCAGUUUGUUGUCUAAGCUUGCCUUUGAUGCUCAGGGCUCCAAGCUUGUCACAAAUAUAUUCGUUUCACUUGUUUUUUCAGGUCUUUGUUGUAAAGAGGCCUCGAUGGAAGCGUCUGUCUAUUCCGCCAUCUUGGCUGUGCCUCCUGAACAUUUUUGAUCAAUGAUUCUAUAAAAAGAAACUGAUCCAAAGGAGGGAACCAUGAAAGAUUGUAUAUAAUUUUCCUGGAAUCCAGAUUUCUAGCUUUCAUAGAGGUUGGGGCAACCUACAUAGGCCACUGUGAAGUAGAGAAAAUACAUUUUCUGUAGCGUUUUAGUAUUAAAAUAAGAGAGAAUAUAUUUUCUAGUUUAGCUGUAUAAGCUGUGAUUAAAAUCUUUAGUCUUUAAAAACAUUGAUUAUUUGCUCUGGAAUCUGUCUCACGAUUGUUCCGUUGUAGAAAAACAAGGUAAUCAAGAUUUUUGUUGUUGAUUAAACCACGUUUCUCUCGGAGGUAACAAAAACAAUGAGCAAUACCAUCAGCACCCGAGAUAAUUGAGCAAAACCCAGACCCAUCCAGUGACCGAAACCAGGAUGUCGUAAAGAGGCCUGAAAGACGUCAACAAUAAGUCACUUCAUCUUUACGUUCCCCUCAAAAAAGAAUCAACAUUCCUGGGAAUUUCUAAACCCUGACCCUCUCCCUAUAAAAUGCUUUUGUAGCCCUCUUGGGGCAGACAGAAUCUGGGGGAAACUUUGCCCCCUCUUUCUCUUGAACACGGUGUUCAAUAAAGCCCUCUUGCUGCUUACCUUCCCUCCUGUCUCAGUAUUGGCUUGUGGCAGGCGGCUCGAAUCCGCAAUUUGUGGCAACAAUCGCCUUUGGGUGUCCUUUUAAACC